GUUUAUUCGGCAAUAUUGUUUACGAUCCUUUAAAGAGUAUGUUUCGAGGGCGGUGGCAUCGAUCUGAUUUCGCAUAUAAUCACGCGUUACCUGAAGGUCCCCCCAUGCGCGGUGUUGAUGGGUGAUCCGACUGGGCCUUAUGGAGAUGAUUCACUUCGUGGACGUCUUCUACCCCGGAAGCAAGUUGUCCGCCUUGGAGAGCUGUGGAGUCGCAGAUCUGAUCGUGACGUGUUACGGAAAAGCCUUAGCUUCUUUUACUGUUGGGAGCUGUCAACUAGCUUUCUGCAAAUUCAUCCCUCAUCCUGGUUCAUGGAAGAUGAUUAUUAAAGAAAUCUGGAAAUAGUCAAUUCUUUUUGCGUCGUAAACGAUGCAGCCGAGCGAGCAGUUCAAGCCAUGGAAUUAUAUAAUGGCAAGGUGACGAAGAACAAGGACCAAACGCAAUACGUUCUUCAGUGCGUCGAGCACCACUGAAUAGUCUAUCCUAAUUGUGACAGAAUAACACUUUCUGAUCAAUUUUAAGGAUCAGCACAACGUGAACCGUCAACCAAGACGACAGUGGGAAAUAACAGGUCCCCCACAACAGCGAAACAUUAAAGUUUUCCGAUUUGUUCCAAUCGGAUAUAAUGCAUUUUCUUGGGUCACGGAUAGUCGCGCCAUAUAAAUUUGGUGCAACGU